GGAGAGGUGCCAGAGUGGUCGAAUGGGCACGACUGGAAAUCGUGUAGGGGGUGCAAAACACUCUCUCGAGGGUUCGAAUCCCUCUCUCUCCGCCA
rnacentral:tRNA from 2 species